rnacentral:RNase_P_RNA from 1 species
UGGGUGAAAUAAGUAGCUGCUAUUGUGUGGUAAACACAGCAGAGGAAAGUCCGGGCUCCAAGGAAAAAUAGUGACGGGUAAUACCCGCCGGAGGUAACUCUAGUUAUAGGGCUACAGAAAAUUACUGCCUAAAAUUUUUUAGGUAAGGGUGAAAAGGUGUGGAAAGAGCACACCAUAACAAUGGCAACAUUGGUAGUUGAGACUCGCAUGCAGUAAGUGGUAACACUUACUCCAGAUAAAUAGCUACACAAACAGAACUUCGGCUUAUAUUUCACCUAGACA